rnacentral:rRNA from 1 species
UACGAGGGGAGCAAGCGUUGUUCGGAUUUACUGGGCGUAAAGGGCGCGUAGGCGGCGUGACUAGUCACUUGUGAAAUCUCCGAGCUUAACUCGGAACGGUCAACUGAUACUGCUCGGCUAGAGUGCGGAAGGGGCAACUGGAAUUCUUGGUGUAGCGGUGAAAUGCGUAGAUAUCAAGAGGAACACCUGCGGCGAAGGCGGGUUGCUGGGCCGACACUGACGCUGAAGCGCGAAAGCUAGGGGAGCGAACAGG